rnacentral:rRNA from 1 species
UGGGGAAUCUUCCGCAAUGGACGAAAGUCUGACGGAGCAACGCCGCGUGUAUGACGAAGGCCUUCGGGUUGUAAAGUACUGUCUUUGGGGACGAACGAUACUUAUGAAAAUAUUGUAGGUAUGUGACGGUACCCAAGGAGGAAGCCCCGGCUAACUACGUGCCAGCAGCCGCGGUAAUACGUAGGGGGCAAGCGUUGUCCGGAAUCAUUGGGCGUAAAGGGCGCGUAGGCGGACGUUUAAGUCUGGUGUGAAAGACUGGGGCUCAACCCCAGGGUUGCAUCGGAAACUGGGCGUCUUGAGGACAGGAGAGGAAAGCGGAAUUCCACGUGUAGCGGUGAAAUGCGUAGAUAUGUGGAGGAACACCAGUGGCGAAGGCGGCUUUCUG